GAUGAACGCUGGCGGCGUGCUUAAUACAUGCAAGUCGAACGAUCAAGCCCAGCUUGCUGGGUGGUUUAGUGGCGAACGGGUGAGUAACACGUGAGUAACUUGCCCUUGACUCUGGGAUAAGCCUGGUCAACUGGCUCUAAUACUGGAUAUGACUUCUCAUCGCAUGGUGGGGGGUGGAAAGAUAUAUUGGUUUUGGAUGGACUCGCGGCGUAUCAGCUUGUGGGUGAGGUAAUGGCUCACCAAGGCAAUGACGAGGAGCCGACCUGAGAGGGUGACCGGCCACACUGGAACGGUGACACGGUCCAGAGGGCUACGGGAGGGAGCAGUAGGGAAUCGGGCGCAAUGGGCGAGAGACUGACGGAGCAGGGCCGCGUGAGGGAGGAAGGUCUCCGGAUGGGAAAACUCGGUCUUUGGGGAAGAACAAUUGUGUAAGGGAGAAUGAACGUAUUGACGGUACCUAAUCAGAAAGCCGCGGCUAACUACGUG
rnacentral:rRNA from 1 species